rnacentral:rRNA from 1 species
GUGGGGAAUAUUGGACAAUGGGCGCAAGCCUGAUCCAGCCAUACCGCGUGGGUGAAGAAGGCCUUCGGGUUGUAAAGCCCUUUUGUUGGGAAAGAAAUCCUGUCGGUUAAUACCUGGCGGGGAUGACGGUACCCAAAGAAUAAGCACCGGCUAACUUCGUGCCAGCAGCCGCGGUAAUACGAAGGGUGCAAGCGUUACUCGGAAUUACUGGGCGUAAAGCGUGCGUAGGUGGUGGUUUAAGUCCGUUGUGAAAGCCCUGGGCUCAACCUGGGAAUUGCAGUGGGUACUGGAUCACUAGAGGGUGGUAGAGGGAUGCGGAAUUUCUGGUGUAGCAGUGAAAUGCGUAGAGAUCAGAAGGAACAUCCGUGGCGAAGGCGGCAUCCUGGGCCAACACUGACACUGAGGCACGAAAGCGUGGGGAGCAAACAGGAUUAGAAACCCGUGUAGUCC